rnacentral:rRNA from 1 species
GAUGAACGCUGGCGGCGUGCCUAAUACAUGCAAGUCGAGCGAAGCGGGGACGGGUGAGUAACACGUGGAUAACCUUCUAUAAGACUGGGAUAACUUCGGGAAACCGGACCUAAAUCGGAUACUUAUAGAUGGUUUCUCGCUGCAUUAGCUAUUUGUUAAGGUAACGGCUUACCAAGGCAACGAUGCCUAGCCGACCUGAGAGGUGGAUCAGCCACACUGGAACUGAGUAACGGUCCAGACUCCGACGGGAGGCAGCAGUAGGGAAUCUUCCGCAAUGGGCGAAAGCCUGACGGGGAAACGCCGCGUGAGUGAUGAAGGUCUUCGGAUCGUAAAACUCUGUUAUUAGGGAAGCGGUACCUAAUCAGAAAGCCACGGCUAACUACGUGCCAGCCGCCGCGGUAAUUC